AGUAGGACCCACCCAACAAGGAAAGAGAGAGAAAUACCAAGCGAGCGAGCAAAGCUUUAUCUGCCUACUGUCUCAAGGACUGGAGGCCUCCCAAAGCAUCAUAUUCUCAACUACUCCUACACAACAUGUGUACAAAAUAUAGUACACCAAGUUGCAAAAAAGCCACCGGGGAAAAAAGGCACACAAUACACCUAUUCCUGCAGCAGUCGGUCGUACCGCUGCUACCACUUUAACAACUCCUCUCAUCAGAUCAGAGUCUCUCUUACACAACACUACAGCUCAGCUCUCCCCAGCAAGCCAAGCAGUGCCGGCCGGCCGGCUGACUGCACUGGAGCUAAAAGAAAGAAAAAAAACAGCAAGGACGAGACGCCAUGCGCACACGCAGCAGGAGGAGCAGCAGCAGCAGUCAGCACGACCGCUUUACUGACCACCGGCGGACGGACGCAUUACCUUACCCCGAAUGAAUAAUUACCACCCUACGUAGCCGCCUAAUAAAGUUGAAAUGGUAAUGAUCCGUCAGGUAAACAUGUGCUCGGACAG
rnacentral:lncRNA from 1 species